GACGUAGGGCGCGAGCGUUGUCCGGAUUUAUUGGGCGUAAAGAGCUCGUAGGCGGCUUGUUGCGUCAGCUGUGAAAACCCGCAGCUCAACUGUGGGCUUGCAGCUGAUACGGGCAGGCUAGAGUCUGGUAGGGGGAUCUGGAAUUCCUGGUGUAGCGGUGGAAUGCGCAGAUAUCAGGAGGAACACCGGUGGCGAAGGCGGGU
rnacentral:rRNA from 1 species